AUUGAACGCUGGCGGCAGGCCUAACACAUGCAAGUCGAGCGAGCGGCGGACGGGUGAGUAAUGUCUGGGAAACUGCCUGAUGGAGGGGGAUAACUACUGGAAACGGUAGCUAAUACCGCAUACCAUCAGAUGUGCCCAGAUGGGAUUAGCUGGUAGGGGGGGUAACGGCUCACCUAGGCGACGAUCCCUAGCUGGUCUGAGAGGAUGACCAGCCACACGGGAACUGAGACAGGGUCCAGACGCCUACGGGAGGCAGCAGGGGGGAAUAGGGCACAAUGGGCGCAAGCCUGAUGCAGCCAUGCCGCGUGUGUGAAGAAGGCCUGAGGGUUGUAAAGCACUUUCAGCGGGGAGGCGUUACCCGCAGAAGAAGCACCGGCUAACUCCGUGCCAGCCGCCGCGGUAAUUC
rnacentral:rRNA from 1 species